ACUGAACGCUGGCGGCAGGCUUAACACAUGCAAGUCGAGCGGAGAGAGGUAGCUUGCUACUGAUCUUAGCGGCGGACGGGUGAGUAAUGCUUAGGAAUCUGCCUAUUAGUGGGGGACAACAUUUCGAAAGGAAUGCUAAUACCGCAUACGUCCUACGAGAGAAAGCAGGGGAUCUUCGGACCUUGCGCUAAUAGAUGAGCCUAAGUCGGAUUAGCUAGUUGGUGGGGUAAAGGCCUACCAAGGCGACGAGCUGUAGCGGGUCUGAGAGGAUGAUCCGCCACACUGGGACUGAGACACGGCCCAGACUCCUACGGGAGGCAGCAGUGGGGAAUAUGGACAAUGGGCGCAAGCCUGAUCCAGCCAUGCCGCGUGUGUGAAGAAGGCCUUAUGGUUGUAAAGCACUUUAAGCGAGGAGGAGGCUACUUUAGAUAAUACCUAGAGAUAGUGGACGUUACUCGCAGAAUAAGCACCGGCUAACUCUGUGCCAGCCGCCGCCGUAAUAC
rnacentral:rRNA from 1 species